CCCGACAUGGGGCUCGAACCCACAAACCAUGAGAUCAUGACCUGAGCCAAAGUUGGACGCUUACCUGACUGAGCCACCAAGGCACCCCUCACCAGCAGAAUAAAGGUGUACAAGUUAAGGGGACUUCUGAGGAAGACAAGUGCACAGAGGAAUCCUAAAGUUGGACAGAGAAAAAAAAAUCCCUCAAAGGACACUACAAAGAAAAUGCCUGAAAAGGAGGAGGAAAAUCAGGUGCGUCCUCUUCUAGGUGUCAUGGAGUGAUGAGGCAACCAGUGGAAAGCUGGGGAGAGGUCAGGUCAAGGCUGGAAUAUAUCUGCAUAUUCAGAUUCAGCAACAUGCAGUGAGCACCUUCGUGAGGGCUAAGAAUGGAAGACCACUGAGGGGGCAGAAAAGUGUGCAGGAGUCAGGAAACAGAGCGGUCAGACACAAACAACUGGACAAGCCUAGGACAGGGACAAGAGGGCAGGCUGCAGCCGAAGGAAAAAAUCCGUUUUUCCAUUUAAGAUGAGAAAGACUGGAUUUAUGCUUAAUUUCUGAUAAGAUGCAGUAAAAGAGACUGGAAGUAGAGAAAAAUAAUGAUCAAGGUGGUAGGUUCCAGAGAAGGAAGGAAGGAUAGAUGCACACACAGACUGCAAUGUUCUUUGGAUCUGUGUUCUAACAUUAUCAAUAAAUCGAAAACCUAGAUUCCAAAUAUAAUUUAUUUCAAAAUACAAAAAUGUAUUAUUUUUUAGUCACUGUGGACAUUUAAGGAGUAGGACACCUCUGUGGUAAGACAGAGACAAGAUUUAACUCAUGGGUAAACAAGGGGAACUCCACAGUUGGGCCUCUGCAAAGAAAAACAGGAAAUGGUGCACUCACUCUUAUACGUAUUAACUGCUGUCAGUAGCAGAGUCAUCGUUUUUCCUGGAAACGUACUCUAUUCUUUAUAGGGAACUCUAUUAAGAGUGUCAACCUUUUGAAUAAUUGUUGCUAUCCUUGAAAUACUGUUAUUCUGCAUAAGGUCAAGGAAGGAGACAAGGAAUAAUGUCUCUUCACAUUUACUGAAUGUUACUGAUGCCUCCUUAAAGCAGUUUAAUCUUAGACACACAUAUUGAAAAUUUUUUCGAAGAUUUUUAACCUCUACACCCAAUGUGGGGCUCGAUCUCAAUGACCUGGUCAUCAAGAGUCACGUGCUCUACUGACAGAGACAGCCAGGUGCCACAUACUGAAAUAGUGUGGGAUGAACUUGCUUUAAGUUUUCCAGCUGAGGCGAGAGGGUCACAGGUGACACAGGAUGGGGCCCCCAUCCACAGCUAGUGAAGCUGGGUGCUACAUACCUGGGAGAGGCGGUUCUCUUCCCUGUUUCUGUGUACAUGUGGUAAUUUUCCUCAACAGUUUUUUUAAAGUAAGUUUUUUUUUGUUUUUAAGUGAAUUUUCUCCUACCUUUACAACUUAACACAAAAACCUAAGUCUUGUUUACUAGUAAAAACUAUGUGACACGAGAAUGAAUAAACAAUUCCUUUUCUGAUUUCCACCAGAA